GACGUAGGGCGCGAGCGUUGUCCGGAUUUAUUGGGCGUAAAGAGCUCGUAGGCGGCUCGUUGCGUCGGCUGUGAAAACCCGCAGCUCAACUGUGGGCUUGCAGCCGAUACGGGCGGGCUUGAGUUCGGUAGGGGAGACUGGAAUUCCUGGUGUAGCGGUGAAAUGCGCAGAUAUCAGGAGGAACACCAAUGCGAAGGCAGCUCGCUGGGACGUGACUGACGCUAG
rnacentral:rRNA from 1 species